rnacentral:tRNA from 1 species
UCUAAUAUGGCAGAAUAGUGCGAUGAAUUUAAGCUUCAUAUAUAAAGAUUUUUCUUUUAUUAGAA